rnacentral:rRNA from 1 species
GACGAACGCUGGCGGCGUGCCUAAUACAUGCAAGUUGAGCGCUGAAGGUUGGUACUUGUACCGACUGGCUGAGCAGCGAACGGGUGAGUAACGCGUGGGGAAUCUGCCUUUGAGCGGGGGACAACAUUUGGAAACGAAUGCUAAUACCGCAUAAAAACUUUAAACACAAGUUUUAAGUUUGAAAGAUGCAAUUGCAUCACUCAAAGAUGAUCCCGCGUUGUAUUAGCUAGUUGGUGAGGUAAAGGCUCACCAAGGCGAUGAUACAUAGACGACCUGAGAGGGUGGUCGGCCAACAUGGGACCGGGACACGGCCCAAACUCCUACGGGAGGCAGCAGUAGGGAAUCUUCGGCAAUGGACGAAAGUCUGACCGAGCAACGCCGCGGGAGGGAAGAAGGUUUUCGGAUCGUAAAACUCUGUUGGUAGAGAAGAACGUUGGUGAGAGUGGAAAGCUCAUCAAGUGACGGUAACUACCCAGAAAGGGACGGCUAACUACGUG